rnacentral:ncRNA from 1 species
ACCAAGGAGUCUAACAUGUGCGCGAGCCGCGGGGCAGUACGAAACCCGUAAGGCGAAAUGAAGGUGAACGCCGGCGCGGUCCGGCGGAGGUUGGAUCCCGUCCCGUCGGGGCGGGCGCACUACCGGCCGAUCUUCUCCGCCCAACGAAGAGGUCGAGCGAGAGCGUGCAAGUCGGGACCCGAAAGAUGGUGAACUAUGCCUGAGGAGGUUGAAGCCAGAGGAAACUCUGGUGGAGGACCGUAGCGAUUCUGACGUGCAAAUCGAUCGUCAAAUUUGGGUAUAGGGGCGAAAGACUAAUCGAACCGUCUAGUAGCUGGUUCCCUUCGAAGUUUCCCUCAGGAUAGCUGGCGCUCUGUCGCAGUUUUAUCUGGUAAAGCGAAUGAUUAGAGGUCUUGGGGGCGAAACGCCCUCAACCUAUUCUCAAACUUUAAAUUGGUAAGAAGCCCGACUCGCUCGUUUGGAGCCGGGCAUGGAAUGCGAGUGCCAAGUGGGCCACUCUUGGUAAGCAGGACUGGCGAUGCGGGAUGAACCGAACGCCGGGUUAAGGCGCCCGACGCGACGCUCAUCAGAGCCCACAAAAGGUGUUGGUUGAUAUAGACAGCAGGACGGUGGCCAUGGAAGUCGGAAACCGCUAAGGAGUGUGUAACAACUCACCUGCCGAAUCAAUCAGCCCUGAAAAUGGAUGGCGCUGGAGCGUCGGGCCUAUACCCGGCCGUCGCGGCGGUACGAGCAUCGAGUUGGUGCGCUAGGCCGCGACGAGUAGGAGGGCCGC